rnacentral:tRNA from 1 species
GGUCUUAUAGCUCAGUUGGUUGCAUCGGAAAGAUGAGCGAGGCGAAUCUUUUAGAUGCCGUAGAGAGCACCUGACUCAUAAUCAGGGAGUCCUAGGUUCAAGCCCAAGUGGGACCA